GGGGGUCGCGUCGUCGUCCAUAUUAUAUAUGAAACGACUCUCGGCAACGGAUAUCUCGGCUCUCGCAUCGAUGAAGAACGUAGCGAAAUGCGAUACUUGGUGUGAAUUGCAGAAUCCCGUGAACCAUCGAGUUUUUGAACGCAAGUUGCGCCCGAAGCCGUCAGGCCGAGGGCACGUCUGCCUGGGUGUCACGCAACGUCGCCAACAAUCCCCUCACCCCCUGCGAAGGGAACGGCGAGGGGUGGCGGAUAUUGGCCUCCCGUGCGCUCCCGCUCGCGGUUGGCCCAAAAAACAGCCCCCUGGCGAUGGCAGCCACGGCACGCGGUGGUUGGAAGCACUGGCUCCUGAACCGCUGUGGGCGAGCCUCGUCGACGGGGAGCGGAAAGACCCUGACGCAAUGCGUCCGAAAAGAGCGACCCC
rnacentral:rRNA from 1 species